GUUGAAACUGCUCUGAGCUCUAAUCCGAAGGGUGAAGAAAUCUUCAGAGAGUAUAACAAAACCAAAACACUGUCAGUUGUGACACGCAAGCAGAUGGUCAACAUUCUGGUUGCAGAAAUGAUAGAAACAUACGGGAGGAUUCCACCAAUGCAUGUCCGGGCCAGUUAUGCACUUGGAAUUGUGACCCUUUUUCCAUAUCUCCAAGAUCCUUACUCAAAACAUGGAUAUGAACACUACUAUGAUCCUCAGGCCAAUACUGGCUAUCUUGCAUGGCGACUCAAGACGGUACAACGCAACACCUGUGAUGGCUUCCGUGAGUGUUCCAGGCCUGAUUUCCAGGACAGCCCGACAACCCAUCGAGAAUCUCUGUUAACUGGUGAUCAGCUUCUUGGUGAGGAGUGCAAGGAGGCUCUUUCCAUAAUGAGACACUCGAUGGACACAUCUGUGGUUAGAGAGAAGAUGAGAGCCACCUUUGACUACAGACAGAAGCUGGUUCAUGACCAUGAUGCAACAGCUUCAGUGUUGGAUGUCUUCCCUCGUUUUCUUGAUACAGCAGGACUGAUUGAACAGGAUUUUUCCAUGAUGUUUGGGGACCAUGUCUCUGGAAGGUUUCUUGCAAGGUGGUCUUCAGAUUUCAAGCACAGAGUCGUCACAGAAUGCCAGAGUGUUCCCUCAAGUUCUUACGUUGAAGAGCUGCUGGCUGCUUCUGAUCUUGAGGUUGAGAAUGACUACGGCUGGGAUAGUGACAUGUCUGCUCUCCUGCUGCUGUUGCAUCUUCUGCCCCCCACAUCAAAAGGCCAGAAAAAAACUCCCAAGAUGAGCUCAGCACAGGCAGCCAAUCA